rnacentral:rRNA from 1 species
GACGGGGGGUCCUAGCGUUGUUCGGAAUUAUUGGGCGUAAAGCGUGUGCAGGUGGCUUGGUAAGUUGGAUGUGAAAGCCCCGGGCUUAACUCGGGAAGUGCAUUCAAAACUACCAAACUUGAGUAUGGAAGAGGGUCGUGGAAUUCCUGGUGUAGUGGUGAAAUACGUAGAUAUCAGGAGGAACACCGGCGGCGAAGGCGGCGACCUGGUCCAAUACUGACACUCAUACACGAAAGCGUGGGUAGCAAACAGG